AUACCAUACACAUCCAUCAAAACACAUCACAUUCAUGUUCGGACAACUUGCGUUCUCAUGCAUAAACACAGUUACAUCUUAUCGAAUAUAUAACCAAAUGUAAUACAUGUAUUAGAUCAAUUUGUUUUUCUCUUCCGUUUGAUAUUUAGAGUCUCACAUACCUUUAGAUUUUACAGUGUAAUGCCUUUUUAACCAAUAUCAUUUAAUACAUAAGGAUCCCCUCUAUAUGUGAAUACUCAAAUAUUUCCAUAGCCAAUAAGUAAUCGUUAGUUAUCCUCAUACCCCAACCCAUGUGGGCGCCAUAAUUAUCAACCAUCCUCAUACCUUCAACCCAUAUAAGUGUCAUAACCAAUCGAUCGCCACCAUACUCCAACCCCUAUGGGUGCUGCUGUUAUUCCAUAUAUAUAAUAGGGUUUGCCCUGCAUAACCAAAAUACAAUCAUUAUAUAAUUAAAGCACAAAUGUGACCAUCGGCUGCCCCAGACCACAAUCCAUUUGAGCACCAUAAAC
rnacentral:lncRNA from 1 species